AUGAGAGACCCAGCCUGCCCACUGAUAUUUUAUUUAACGGCCGCGGUACCCUGACCGUGCAAAGGUAGCACAAUCACUUGUUUCUCUAAAUAGGGACUAGUAUGAAUGGCACCACGAAGACUAUACUGUCUCCUUUCUACAAUCAGUGAAACUGAUCCCCCCGUGAAAAAGCGGGGAUUAUACUAUAAGACGAGAAGACCCCAUGAAGCUUCAAACUAAAUACCAACUGCCGGCCAUUAAACCACCCGAAACCUGGCUGACCUGACUAUCAAAUUUUGGUUGGGGCAACCGCGGAGCAAAACAAAACCUCCACAUUUAUUAUAAGAACAGUGGACCACCACUCAAUUUAAGAACAACGCUUCUAAAAGCCAAAACAUUGACCCCCCUUGAUCCAAACCUUUGAUCAAAGAACCAAGUUACUCUGGGGAUAACAGCGCAAUCUAUUUCAAGAGUCCGUAUUGACAAAUGGGUUUACGACCUCGAUGUUGGAUCAGGGUGCCCCAGUGGUGCAGAUGCCGCUAACGGCUCGUUUGUUCAACGCUUU
rnacentral:rRNA from 1 species